UACGGAGGGGGCGAGCGUUAUUCGGAAUUAUUGGGCGUAAAGGGCGCGUAGGCGGCUGUACAAGUCAAAGGUGAAAUCCCUCGGCUCAACUGAGGAACUGCCUUUGAAACUGUACGGCUUGAGGCCGGGAGGGGGUAGCGGAAUUCCCAGUGUAGCGGCGAAAUGCGUAGAUAUUGGGAGGAACACCAGUGGCGAAGGCGGCUACCUGGACCGGUUCUGACGCUGAGGCGCGAAAGCGUGGGUAGCAAACAGG
rnacentral:rRNA from 1 species